GUAGGUGGCAAGCGUUGUCCGGAAUUAUUGGGCGUAAAGCGCGCGCAGGCGGUCCUUUAAGUCUGAUGUGAAAGCCCACGGCUCAACCGUGGAGGGUCAUUGGAAACUGGGGGACUUGAGUACAGAAGAGGAAAGCGGAAUUCCAAGUGUAGCGGCGAAAUGCGUAGAGAUUUGGAGGAACACCAGUGGCGAAGGCGGCUUUCUGGUCUGUAACUGACGCUGAGGCGCGAAAGCGUGGGGAGCAAACAGGGAUUAGAUACCCUGGUAGUCCACGCCGUAAACGAUGAGUGCUAAGUGUUAGGGGGUUUCCCGCCCCUUAGUGCUGCAGCUAACGCAUUAAGCACUCCGCCCCGGGGGAGUACGGCCGCAAGGCUG
rnacentral:rRNA from 1 species